rnacentral:rRNA from 1 species
CAGUCGCCGCGGUAACACGUAGGGUGCGAGCGUUAAUCGGAAUUACUGGGCGUAAAGCGUGCGCAGGCGGUUGUGUAAGACAGGUGUGAAAUCCCCGGGCUUAACCUGGGAAUGGCGCUUGUGACUGCAAAGCUAGAGUGCGGCAGAGGGGGAUGGAAUUCCGCGUGUAGCAGUGAAAUGCGUAGAUAUGCGGAGGAACACCGAUGGCGAAGGCAAUCCCCUGGGCCUGCACUGACGCUCAUGCACGAAAGCGUGGGGAGCAAACAGGAUUAGAUACCCCGGUAGUCCCUGUCUCUUAUAC